rnacentral:rRNA from 1 species
GAUGAACGCUAGCGAUAGGCCUAACACAUGCAAGUCGAGGGGCAUCACAUGAGGCAGCAAUGCCGAUGGUGGCGACCGGCGCACGGGUGAGUAACACGUAUGCAACCUGCCUUCAACAAGGGGAUAACCCGUUGAAAAACGGACUAAUACCCUAUAAUACAGGGGUCCCGCAUGGGGAUAUUUGUUAAAGAUUGAUCGGUUGAAGAUGGGCAUGCGUUCCAUUAGCUGGUUGGUGAGGUAACGGCUCACCAAGGCAACGAUGGGAUAGGGGAACUGAGAGGUUUAUCCCCCACACUGGUACUGAGACACGGACCAGACUCCUACGGGAGGCAGCAGUGAGGAAUAUUGGUCAAUGGACGCAAGUCUGAACCAGCCACGUCGCGUGAAGGAAGACGGCCCUACGGGUUGUAAACUUCUUUUGUAAGGGAAUAAAGUGUAGUACGCGUACUAUUUUGCAUGUACCUUACGAAUAAGGAUCGGCUAACUCCGUGCCAGCAGCCGCGGUAAA